rnacentral:rRNA from 1 species
UACGUAGGGUGCAAGCGUUGUCCGGAAUUAUUGGGCGUAAAGAGCUCGUAGGCGGUUCGUCACGUCGGCUGUGAAAACCUGGGGCUCAACUCCGGGCCUGCAGCCGAUACGGGCGAACUAGAAUUCGGUAGGGGAGACUGGAAUUCCUGGUGUAGCGGUGAAAUGCGCAGAUAUCAGGAGGAACACCGGUGGCGAAGGCGGCAUCCUGGACCAAUUCUGACGCUGAGGAGCGAAAGCCAGGGGAGCAAACGGG